CACGAUCUAUCUCUCACUUUGCCAUCCCUCAUUUUUUUGGAACACAAUACCAAUAAAGUGGUGAUCAAUGAAAUAAGACUUAAUUUGUAAUGACGUAAACGAGACUAUGCAAAUUGCAAACCUGACAUAGAUGGGCGGCCAAUAAAGCAACGGAGGGACAACACAUGGUACUAACGGUACUUGACUUUGAUAGAGAAAUCGAUGGAGCUAGCAAAAAUUCUAAGCAGGGACUAAAUAUAUAAAGACAAAACAAAAUUAUUUUUAAAACCAUCGUAUUAAAUUUAAGGGUAAACAUAUUUUAGUCUCAUAAAUUAUAACUUUUUAGGUUUAGUCCUUACAAAAAAUUUAUUCAAUUUUUUAAAAUUUUACAAAAAAAGUGUGUGUUUAGUCUUGCAAUAAUCUCUAUAAAAAAAAUUAAAGACUAAAAUAAAAUAAAAAACCUUAUCAACUUAACUUUAAAAUUGUGAGUAUUGUAGAUAUUAAAACGAAAUUUAAUUCGAAACUUAACUAAAGCGUAAAAAAAUCACAAUAACUUUUAUUUAUAUGAAAUGUAAAUUGAAGUAACAACAAAGGAAAUAAAAAUUGACAAUAAGUUAUUUUAAAAAAAUUGAGCUAAACGCAUUUUAAAAAGUCACUUUUAUCCAUAAUUUUAUGUUUACUAAAUAGAUUAAUAAUAUCCUUUCAAUGUAAAUAAAUAUGUUAUUUGCAAAAUAAAGCGCAUUAUCUAUUUGUUAUUGAAAAAGUUUUCUUUAUAGUUAGCUGUUAUUGAGACUUAAAAUAUAAAACCAAUACAAAUAAUUCUAUCAUUUGUAUAGUAAUUUUUUUUACUUUAUUAUUUAUGUUAAUUUUUGGAUAUUAAACUUGUUUGGGUAGCUAAAUAUAAAUAGAUUUAUUGCUCUAAAAUUGUCGCAAAAUAAUAAGUAAUGUAAAUGCAACCCAUUCUUAAGAACUAUUGACAUUUGAUUUAUUAUCAGACUUUCGUUAAUGAAAUUGUUUUUAACAUAAAAAAAAAAAAAAAAAAGUUCUAAUCAUGCUUUCUUCAUCACAUUAAAAAAAUACACGAAAAGAAUCGUAAACGAUUUAAAGUAAGUAAUGUUUGUUUCUUGACGUCAAACGAGUGUAAAAACUUUUUAUCAAAUUCUUUAAUGAUUUGAGACAUCUAUUUUGCAUAAAAAAAUUGACACAUAAAAAGAGCAAUUUUCAAAUGGGGAUCGAAAUCAAACAAAACAAAAGAAAGAGGUUGAGAUUGUUAGUGGACGUGGUUCAAACCUGAAACCAAACUUGGACGUAUGGUAUGGCUUCAACAACCACCAGAAUGCUGAAGGGAAUUUUGCUAUUACACCUCUCUUCCACACCUCCCUCUUCUCUUCUUCGCAUUACUCGCGACCUUUCUCGCCCUUUCUUCCUCUCCUCUCUUC
rnacentral:lncRNA from 1 species